rnacentral:rRNA from 1 species
GACGAACGCUGGCGGUGUGCUUAACACAUGCAAGUCGAACGGAAAGGCCCUGCUUUUGUGGGGUGCUCGAGUGGCGAACGGGUGAGUAACACGUGAGUAACCUGCCCUUGACUUUGGGAUAACUUCAGGAAACUGGGGCUAAUACCGGAUAGGAGCUCCUGCUGCAUGGUGGGGGUUGGAAAGUUUCGGCGGUUGGGGAUGGACUCGCGGCUUAUCAGCUUGUUGGUGGGGUAGUGGCUUACCAAGGCUUUGACGGGUAGCCGGCCUGAGAGGGUGACCGGCCACAUUGGGAAUGAGAUACGGCCCAGACUCCUACGGGAGGCAGCAGUGGGGAAUAUUGCACAAUGGGCGGAAGCCUGAUGCAGCAACGCCGCGUGCGGGAUGACGGCCUUCGGGUUGUAAACCGCUUUCGCCUGUGACGAAGCGUGAGUGACGGUAAUGGGUAAAGAAGCACCGGCUAACUACGUG